GUCUCUGUAGGCAAUGGAUAGCGCGUUGGACUUUUAAUUCAAAAGUCAUGGGCUCGAAUCCCACCUGGGAUG